rnacentral:lncRNA from 1 species
GAUAUGAAAGUAGAUAUUUUCGAAAUGAGUUAAAGAUGUGCAAAGAGAAAUUACAUCAUACUACACUUGUUCACACUAGCCAUCACUUUUAAGAUGUUGACUGCUAUUUAAUUGUUAAAUGAACAAACUCACUCAUGAAAUUGGACUGCACUUACCGACGUAGAGAUUUAAGAACCAAAUAGCAAAACAAAAAAGAACCAAAAUAAAUUAAAACAGUCCAUUAAACAGACCCAAAUAGACCUAAACCCCAUUUCAAUGAAAAAAACCAAAUAAAUCAAAUAACUCAAUGCCUAAAAGGCCCAAUGGCCCAAAACCUAGACCUAGGUUCAGCCUAACAGAAACCUAGGGUUUCCCUUGCGCCGCAGCUGGCCUCACAGCACCGUACAACCUCCAAUGCUUCAGCAGCCUCCAGUACACAGCCUCCGUACGCCCCAUGUCGAGUGCCACGUACCACCACAGCUGGCUCCGUACCCCGUACCUGCAAACCAAAACACGACAAUAGCACAAAAUAGCAAAAAGAAUGUAUUUUUCUUUUUUAUUUCGGCUAUAUAAAGCCAUACAAAAUUGUAUUGUUUUUUUUAGACACGAUCUAUUGAACACGCAUACUAAAAUACAAAAGCAACAAAAAAUCAAAAGGUGAUUUCGGAUUCGGUUCUUCUUUUCCAGUUGUUUUCUUCUUUGUUUUUUUUUUGGUUUUACAUACUGUGUAUUUGGAGUAUAAAAGAAAGAAAAGAAAAGUGAAGGCUUACCUUGCAAAUAUGCCACGAGAUUCCUUCUGCUUCGUUGAAAUCGAGGUAUGAGGGAUCCCAAAGCUGAAAAAACAAUCGCCGAGGCUCGAAUACACUGGUCGCCGACUGUUGUGGCGGAUCGACGUUUGAGCAAAAGGGAAUUAGCGUUCGGCCGAAUAUGGAAAAGGGAGUGUUUAGGUUUUUUUUUCCUAAAUGGCUUAGUUUUAGGGUUUUUUUUGGUUUUAACAAUGUAUAUGAAACGGCACCAUUUAGGGCCUGUUUCAGUGGCUCCAAAACGGUGCCGUCUAAGUCAACCCGUUUCGACCCGAUCCGAUUGCCCCCAGGAUCUGUGUGUUUUUGCGGAGAGGGGAUAUUUGUGCAUUGAGUCCUUCCUUUUCGCGUUGACGUUCAAUUGGAACCCAUUCAUAUUUUUCUUUUUCUUAAUUUAUUUCUGCAACUUGUGCGUAAAUCCAAUUUAGUCCGGCCUCAACGCUGCAUUUGGGAAUCUGGAAUAUUUCCAGUUUCGAUCCCUUUACAUUCGCACGCAUUAUGAUUUAGUCCCUAUUCUAUUUUUAAUGGCUUAUUUUAUUUAUUAAUUACUCCUUUAAGCUUCAUUUUAUUUCAAUUAAGUUUUUUUCAAUUUAUAUGAUUCAUUUUUAAAAGUUCACUUAGCUUUCAUCUUUUAAAUUUUUUUUUUGUUACAUUUUGAGUUACUUUGAUGAAUUUACUUUGUUUUUUUUUUGUUUUUUUAAUUUAUAAAAUUAUUAUUUUCAAAUUCUCUUUUAUAUCAUAUGAUUUUAAAUUUUUGUAUAAUCUUUAAUUUAAAUUACCCUCAUAUUAAUAUAUAUUUAUAUAUAAGUUUAUGUAAAAGUUAGUUGUAUUCUAUGAAUAUUAUUAAUCCCAUGUUAACUUAUUUAUAAAUUCUUUUAAAUCUAUCUGUGUAUAUUUUAUCUUUAUGUACAUAAUUCAUUUUUUUAAAGAACAUAUUUUAUUACAUAUUGUUGUGAUUUAAAAUUUCACAUGUUUAUAUACUAUUUUUUAUAUGCAUAUACAUUGUCCACUUUAAAUGGAUGUAUCAUUUUUAAAAUGUUUUUGUACAUUAUUUGACUCAAAUUUCUUCUUUCAUAAUAUUUAUUUUAAUAAUUAUUUAUAUAUUUGUAGUUUAAUUUUUUUUACAUGUAAAUUAUUUAAAAUUAUGGCAUGUGUUAUACUCGUAAUUUCUCACGUGUUUUUAAUUGUUUUGUACCAUAUCCUAGUGUCCAUAUUGUUUUGUAUAUAAUGUGUGUUUUGUUGGCUUUUUCCAUAUUGUUUUAUAGAUUAUUAUAUCAUAUUUUCAAUUGGUAUUUGGUGUUGUUAUCUUAAUUUUAUUUAUCUAUGUUUGAAAACUUGUUAUAGUUUUUAUUUUGAUUUGUUUCUUUAGUUAUAUUUUUAGUUUUCACUAUUUUGAUCAUUAAUGUUUGGAUGUGAGUUUAAUGUUAUUUUGUCCAUGUUAAUUCUUUUAUUUAUUUAUUUUUAUACUAUUUUCAUUCAUUAAUAGAGUUCGCUAUCCAUGUAUAUUGUCUCAUGUUUAUAAUUUUGUCUUUCAUUCGCAAUUGUCGCAUUGUAAUUUGUAACUUAUUGAUCCAAAAUUAAUGAUUCCAUUUUAUUUCAAGUCGAAUUAAUGUAUUUUGAGUCGACUUUUUAAAAACAAAGGCGAUAUUUGACGUUUGGAAAUUCGGGAAAUCCUGCCCUAACGUGCUGGGUUUCGAUUUUCUGUUUGUCCAAAUGAUCAAAUAUCCCUUUAAAAUUUCGUCCACGUUUUCUAAACUUUAAAAAAAAGGUGAUGUUUGAUACUUAAAAAUUCGGGAAAUCAAGCCCUAACGUGCUAGGUUUCGAUUUUCUGUUUGUCCAAAUGAUCAAAUAUCCCUUCAAAAUUUCGUCCGUAUUCUCUAAACUUCACAACAAGGCAAUAUUCUAUGUUUGGAAACUCGAGAAAUCCUGCCCUAACGUGUAAUACCCCCUACCCAUAUUCAUUGCCGGAAUAGGGUACGAGGUAUUACCGGAGUUUACGAUUUUUUUUUAUAUUCAAUAUAGCCCCUUUAUAAAUAUCUAACCUUCCCUGCAAUAUUAAAUUGAGGCCAAUCCACAUCAACCAAACCAAUUCAACAUAUUUUCAAGAUAAAUUCAUGCAUAUUUAUAAGAUAACGUCAUCACAUACCCAAAACCAGGUUUGUUAACUAUACUAAUGGCUAACUUUACAUUCAUUUCACGUUAACAUUUACUUUAUUAGCUUAUACAUGCCAUUGAUUUCCAAAAUAAAGUUUCUUUAUAUACCGAAAUCCUGAGGUUGAUAGUGUGAUGUGUCUCCGACCAAAUCUGACCUCCGAGCUCUUAACACUACAAAACAGGGGAAAAUGAAACAGGGUAAGCACUUUGUGCUUAGUAAGCUCAUGUAACAAGAAUUAUACUUACCUAAUAUUUUCAAUACAAUACAAUAAACAUUCAUAUAUCCAUUCAAUGCAUUAUUACCCUAACAUGCACAAACUCAACAUUCAAGUUAGUACAAUAAUUUCCAUGUACCAAUAAUAUAUACUAUGAUUGAUGAGCUCAUCAAUACCAUAAUUUUCAUUUCCUUAUAUAUAUAUAUAUAUUUUUUCAUAUUUAUCCCGUUGAAUUUCUUGGAAUUUUCGAUGGAUUUUCAGAGGUACACUUUUAGUGUACAUUUCCAGGUCCGUCAAUUCAUAUUCAUGUGCGCACAUUUCCAUUUCAGAGAGCACACUCCUGCGAACCUCAUCCUUACAGCGGGAUUACCAGUCCAGGCUAAAUCCCCUGUAAUAUAAACUCAUAGAGUAUUGUCGGGAUUACCAGUCCAGGCUAAAUCCCCUGCAAACGACAAUUACUCUAAUGAGCUUGGAUCUGAAUUACCAGUCCAGGCUAAUUUCAGACCCUAAUUCGGAUUACCCGUCCGGGCUAAAUCUAUUUUCCACAUAUUCUUCGGGAGGGCUAUAUCAGGAUAGGAUCACCCGUCUGGGCUAGAUCUUUUUUACCGUCAAUUCCUUUUCAGAGAUCCAUCAAAUUUUCCUUUCAUUCAACCGGGAUUUCUUCCCCUUUUAUCAAAUAUAUCAAUUUUUCAUAAAUUUCCAUAUAAUGAACAUUCAAAUCAUAUUCAUAUCAAAAACAUGCAUUUCAAGCAUUUAAGAAUAUAAUUCAAGUUACACGAACUUACCUUGAUACUUGUUCGUGUACAAAAAUCUACUAAUCCUGAACUUUUUCCUUUCCUCGAUCUAGCUCCGUAUUUGAAUCUUCUGGAUCUAAAUAAAUAAAUUUAAUUAUCAAUUUAAUACAUUUCAUGUUUAUAUGCAACAAUUUCUAUAAUUUCAUUAUUAUUAUUUAUAGUUUAUUCAAAGCUGUCUAUUUGAGUCAUAGUCACUAAAUUAUUUAUAAAUCAAGCUACGGAACUCCAAAUUAAGAUCCGUUAAUUUUCCCUGAAACUAGACUCAUAUAUCUUCUUACAAUAAAAUUUUCAAAAUUUUUGGUUUAGCCAAUAAGUACAGUUUAUUCUUUAAUGUCACCCCUGUUCUGCUGUCUGAUAGUUCUGACCCUUCUUCACUAAAAAUUAAUUAUCUCUUCAUAUAGAAUUCAGAUGAUGUUCCCGUUUGUUUCUCUUGAAAAUAGACUCAUUCAGGAUUCUAUGCAUAUAAAUUUAAGCCCAUAAUUAUUUUUAUUCAAUUUUUUAUGAUUUCUCAAAGUUAGUCUACUGCUGCUGUCCAAUAUUUUUUUAGUGCAAGCUGUUUAUUACCAUUUUUCCCCUAAGCUUUUAAUAAAUAACAAUUUCGUCCCUACUCAAUUAGCCUCUCAAUUGAGCUUAUUUUUCUUAAUUAACACUUUAUUCUAUCACCUUAAACUAGUUUACAACUUUUAGGAAUCAAAAUUUCAGCAAUAGACUUUAAUUCCAAACAUUUUCACAAUUAGGUCCUAAAAAUCAAUUUCUAUUGAAAUUACCUAAUAAAAUCAUCUCAUAAACAAAUUAAAGCUUUAAUUUCAUUCUAUCUCAUCAUAAACUUACAGCACUCAACCUUGGUGACUUUCAAUUUCAUCCAUGCAAUCAAAAACUAAUGAAUUUAAUAGUAGGACCUAGUUGUAAAAGUCUUAGAAACACAAAAAUUACAAGAAAAAGGCAAGGAUUAACUCACUUGGUGCACAAAUUAUGGAAUACCAGCUUAGAGAACCCUCCUAUGGCGUUUUUAGCUACUGGAAUUGAAGAGAAAUGAAGAGAAAUCUAGAUAUUUCCUAUUUAGUCCUAGUUUUAUUUAGUUAAUUUUGCAAUAUUCCAAUUUUGCCCUUAAUUUAUCAAUUUUCCUGCUGAUUUCAUGCCCUUGCCCGUCCAGUCCAUAUAAAUUUUGGGUCUAAUUUCCUUUUAAAUCCUCUCUCAUUAGACACUUAAGCUAUUUAAUCAUCCCAUCCACUUUUACACCUUUUACAAUUUAGUCCUUUUCAUUUAAUUAACUAUCCAAACAUUAAAAUUUCCUAACAAAAUUUUAAUACCACAUUACUAACAUUUCAUAAAUAUUUAUAAAAUUAUUUUUAACUCGUUUUUACGAGAUAAAGAUCCCGAUACCUUAUUUUACCCAAUUUAUUCAAUAAUUUCUUUUUCUAACUAACCACUAAAUCGGUAAAAUUUUUCUAUCAAUAUUUUCAUACGAUUUUCCUAUCAUAUCAAUUUUCAUGCAAAAAUAUUGAAAUAAAUUUCUCUUUAAAUCAGAUUUGUGGUUACAAAACCACUGUUUCGAUAACCUUGAAUUUAGGUCAUUACGUAACGUGUUGGGUUUCAGUUUUUCGUUGGACCAAAUAAUCGAAUAUCCUUUUGUAAUUUUCAAAUGUAUGAGUUUUUGGAAAUCAAGAAUUGAUCAUAGUUUUGAGGGUUUAAAGGAUCUUGUCCUAACGUGCUGGAUGUGAUACUGUAUUCCUUUGAAACAAAAGAGUUUUAAUGUCUAAUUCGUGUCAUUCGAAUGUUUUAAAAUAAAUCUAUUUUAAAAUAUUUUUUAAAUCUUAGGCAUAAUGACAUUAUUUAAUCAAUUUGGUACCAAUUUGGGGCGUAACGAGGGUGCUAAUCCUACCUCGUACGCAAUCGACUCCCGAACCCAUUUUCUUAAAUUGUGUAGGCCAAAAUUGAUGUUUUAAUAAAAUAAAGUGUUUUAUUAGGUGACCCGAUCACACCUAAACAAAAAGGAUUGGUGGCGACUCCAUACCUCGUUUUAAAGUCGAUCCCCAUUUUUUUUAAUUAAUAAAAAUGGUUUCGACACACUCCACCGCUCAUGUAAAUACAUCAUUACUAGCAUAGAUACAAGAAUUCGUAUGGUCGAUACAAUUAAAUUAAUUCCCUGCUAAAAGAAUAAAAAUGACUGUCUAUCGAUUGCAAUGUUGCUGAUAUUUCAGUAACUUGAUUUAUUUAUAAUAAUAUGAAUUUUGGCUGAGAAAAAAAAUCUUUUAAAUGAUUUAAUUUUUAUUAUGUGGAUGAGGUUGACGAAGACCAUUUCAAGUCAAUAUACAGCUCUCUAGUAUUACUAUUUUUAUCUCUAUCAAUCAUGCAUUAUUGUCUUGCAUGCCCUUUUUUUAAUUUUUGUUUUUCCUUUUAGUGUGAAUGCUUAAAAAUCACAGUAGCUAGUAGCAAGGAUAUGAAAGUAGAUAUUUUUGAAAUGAGUUAAAGAUGUGCAAAGAGAAAUUACAUCAUACUACACUUGUUCACACUAGCCAUCACUUUUAAGAUGUUGACUGCUAUUUCCUCCUAAUUAAUUGUUAAAUGAACAAACUCACUCAAGAAAUUGAAAUGCACUUACCGACGUAGAGAUUUAAGAACCAAAUAGCAAAACAAAAAAAAAACCAAAAUAAAUUAAAACAGUCCAUUAAACAGACCCAAAUAGACCCAAACCCCAUUACAAUGAAAAAAAAACCAAACAAAUCAAAUAACCCAAUGCCUAAAAGGCCCAAAACCUAGACCCAGGUUCAGCCAAAUAGAAACCUAGGGUUUCCCUUGCGCCGCAGCUGGCCUCCCAGCACCGUACAACCUCCAGCGCUUCAGCAGCCUCCAGCACACAGCCUCCGUACGCCCCACGCCGAGUGCCACGUACCACCACAGCUGGCCCCAUACCCCGUACCUGCAAACCAAAACACGACAGCGGUACAAAAUAGCAAAAAGAAUGUAUUUUUCUUUUUUAUUUCAGCUAUAUAAAGCCAUACAAAAUUAAUGUAUUGUUUUUUUUUUAGACACAAUUUAUUGAAAACGCAUACUGAAUUACAAAAGCAACCAAAAAUCAAAAGGUGAUUUCAGAUUCAGUUAUUCUUUUCCAGUUGUUUUCUUCUUUUUUUUUUUUGGUUUUACAUACUGUGUAUUUGGAGUAUAAAAGAAAAGAAAAGAAAAGUGAAGGCUUACCUUGCAAAUAUGCCAUGAGAUUCCUUCUGCUUCGUUGAAAUCGAGGUAUGAGGAGAUACCAAAGAUGAAAAAACAACCGUCGAGGCUCGAAUACACUGGUUGCCGACUGUUAUGGCGGAUCGGCGUUUGAGCAAAAGGCGAUUAGGGUUCGGCCGAAUAUGGAAAAGGGAGUGUUUAGUUUUUUUUUCUGAAAUGGCUAAGGGUAUUAGUUUUAGGUUUUUUUUUGGUUUUUGGGUAUUAGUUUUAGGGUUUUUAGUUUUUUUGUCCUGCUUCAGUGGCUCUAAAAUGGUGUCGUCUAAGCCAACCCGUUUCGACUCGACCCGAUUGCCCCCAGGAUCCGAAUGUUUCUGCGGAGAGGGGAUAUUUGUGCAUUGAGUCCUUCUUUUUCGCGUUGACGUUCAAUUGGACCCUAUUCAUAUUUUUCUUUUUCUUAAUCUAUUUUUGCAACUUGUGCAUAAAUCCAAUUUAGUCCGUGCCUCAACGCUGCGUUUGGGAAUCUGGAAUAUUUCCAGUUUCGAUCCCUACGCAUUCGCGCGCAUUAUGAUUUAGUCCCUAUUCUAUUUUUAAUGGCUUAUUUUAUUUAUUAAUUACUCCUUUAAGCUUCAUUUUAUUUCAAUUAAGUAUUUUUUCAAUUAAUAUGAUUUAUUUUUAAAAGUUCAUUUAGCUUUCAUCUUUUAAAUUUUUUUUAUAUACAUUUUGAGUUACUUUGAUGAAUUUACUUUGUUUUUUUUUUAGUUUUUUUUAAUUUAUAAAAUUAUUUUUUUCAAAUUCUCUUUUAUAUCAUAUGAUUUUAAAUUUUUGUAUAAUCUUUAAUUUAAAUUACCCUCAUAUUAAUACAUAUAUAUAUAUAAAAGUUUAUGUAAAAGUUAGUUGUGUUCUAUGAAUAUUAUUAAUCCCAUGUUAACUUAUUUAUAAAUUCCCAUGUUAACUUAUUUAUAACUUCUUUUAAAUCUAUUUAUGUAUAUUUUAUCUUUAUGUACAUAAUUCAUUUUUUUAAAGAACAUAUUUUAUUACAUAUUUUUGUGAUUUAAAAUCUCACAUAUUUAUAUACUAUUUUUUAUAUGCAUAUACAUUGUCCACUUUAAAUGGAUGUAUCAUUUUUAAAAUGUUUUUGUACAUUAUUUUAUUCAAAUUUCUUCUUUCAUAAUAUUUAUUUUAAUAAUUAUUUAUAUAUUUGCAGUUUAAAUUUUUAUUACAUAUAAAUUAUUUAAAAUUCUAGCAUGUGUUAUUCAUUCGUAAUUCUCACGUGUUUUUAAUUGUUUUGUACCAUAUCCUAGUGUCCAUACUAUUUUGUAUAUUAUGUGUGUUUUGUUGGCUUUUUUCAUAUUGUUUUAUAGAUUAUUAUAUCAUAUUUUCAAUUGGUAUUUGGUGUUGUUAUCUUAAUUUUAUUUAUCUAUGUUUGAAAACUUGUUAUAGUUUUUAUUUUGAUUUGUUUCUUUAGUUAUAUUUUUAGUUUUCACUAUUUUGAUCAUUAAUGUUUGGAUGUGAGUUUAAUGUUAUUUUAUCCAUGUUAAUUCUUUUAUUUAUUUAUUUUUAUACUAUUUUCAUUCAUUAAUAGAGUUCGCUAUCCAUGUAUAUUGUCUCAUGUUUAUAAUUUCGCCUUUCAUUCACAAUUAUCGCAUUGUAAUUUGCAACUUAUUGAUCCAAAAUUAAUGAUUCUAUUUUAUUUCAAGUCGAAUUAAUGUAUUUUGAGUCGACUUUUUAAAAACAAAGGCGAUAUUUGACGUUUGGAAAUUCGGGAAAUCCUGUCCUAACGUGCUGAGUUUCGAUUUUCUGUUUGUCCAAAUGAUCAAAUAUCCCUUUAAAAUUUCGUCCGCGUUUUCUAAACUUUAAAACAACGGCGAUGUUUGAUGUUUGGAAAUUCUGGAAAUCGUGCCCUAACAUGCUGGGUUUCGAUUUUCUGUUUGUCCAAAUGAUCAAAUAUCCCUUUAAAAUUUCGUCCGCGUUCUCUAAACUUCACAACAAGGCAAUAUUCUAUGUUUGGAAACUCGAGAAAUCGUGCCCUAACGUGUUGGGUUUUAGUUUUUCGUUGGACCAAAUAAUCGAAUAUCCUUUUGUAAUUUUCAAAUGUAUGAGUUUUUAAAAAUCAAGAAUUGAUCGUAGUUUCGAGGGUUUAAAGGAUCUUGUCCUAACGUGCUGGAUGUGAUACUGUAUUCCUUUGAAACAAAAGAGUUUUAAUGUCGAAUUCGUGUCAUUCGAAUGUUUUAAAAGAAAUCGUAUUUUAAAAUAUUUUUUAAAUCUUAGGCAUAAUGACAUUAUUUAAUCAAUUUGGUGCCAAUUUGGGGCGUAACGAGGGUCUAAUCCUACCUCGUACGUAAUCGACUCCCGAACCCAUUUUCUCAAAUUGCGUAGGCCAAAAUUGAUGUUUUAAUAAAAUAAAGUGUUUUAUUAGGUGACCCAAUCACACCUAAACAAAAAGGAUUGGUGGCCACUCCAUAUCUCGUUUUAAAGUCGAUCCCCGUUUUUUUAAAUAAUAAAAAUGGUUUCGACACACUCCACCGCUCAUCUAAAUACAUCAUUACUAACAUAGAUACAAGAAUUCGGAUGGUCGAUACAAUUAAAUUAAUUCCUUGCUAAAAGAAUAAAAAUGACUGUCUAUCUAUUGCAAUGUUGCUGAUAUUUCAGUAACUUGAUUUAUUUAUAAUAAUAUGAAUUUUGGCUGAGAAAAAAAAUCUUUUAAAUGAUUUAAUUUUUAUUAUGUGGAUAAGGUUGACGAAGACCAUUUCAAGUCAAUAUACAGCUCUCUAGUAUUACUAUUUUUAUCUCUAUCAAUCAUGCAUGAUUGUCUUGCAUGCCCUUUUUUUAAUUUUUGUUUUUCCUUUUAUUGAAUGCUUAAAAAUCACAGUAGCUAGGAGCAAGGAUAUGGAAGUAGAUAUUUUCGAAAUGGGUUAAAGAUGUGCAAAGAGAAAUUACAUCAUACUACACUUGUUCACACUAGCCAUCACUUUUAAUAUGUUGACUGCCAUUUCCUCCUAAUUAAUUGUUAAAUGAACAAACUCACUCAUGAAAUUGGACUGCACUUACCGACGUAGAGAUUUAAGAAUCUGAUUGUUAAUAGGAUCAAAUUUAUAUCCUAGUGAAAAUGGUUAAAGGUUACGUUGAAAGUACGUCUUUAAUAACUCUCGUUAAAUAAAUAAAAAUAGUGUCUUGAUAAUUUGUAUCAAUCAAAAUCCAAUUUGUAAACAUGAAAAAAACUAUGGCUGUUGAUUGGUUAUGUAAAGGCCCAAUUUAGCCCGGGGCCCAUAAACCAGAAACUAAAAUAAAUAUAACAGUUUUUGUUACAAAACCCAUUAACAAUCUAAAUACAAAAUUAACGCUAGCCCAAAAUAAUGAAGCCCGACAGGCCCAAAACUUAAAAAAUUUUGGGGUUUCUAGCGCCGUUGCCCCAUGUGCGCCGUACAACUGCCACCACCUGCUCCCUUUUCACCAAAAUGGCCACCUGCCUCGUUGACUUCUUCCCCAACCUGCAAACAUGGCCAAGAAAAGAAGGCAACAAGCAGAGAAAUGACAAGGCAACAGUAACCAAAAAAGAGAACACGCAAACGAAAAUAAUGUAUGUAUUCGGCUAUAUAUAGCCACAAGAGUCGAUGUAAUUUUUUUUUACACAGAUUUUGAAAUACACGACAAUAUCAAUAAAAACAGUAUCCAAAAGUCUUAAAGGUGAUUCUUGUUCUUUCUUUUUGCAAUCUUUAUUUCAAAAAAUAAGAUAGAAAAUAGAAAAAGGGGAAUUUUUCAAAAAAAAUAUGAACAAUAUUAAUAGAAAACGAAGAAAGGUGAUUUUUUUCUACUUUCGUUUUAAGUUUUUAUUUUAUUUUAUUUUAUUUUCAUUUUUAUUUAGUUUCACACAAAAUAUAAAAAAAAGGGAAAGGGGGCAAGAAACUUACCGGUGUUCGGUUUUCCAACACCGUGAACGGCCGAGGAAGCCACCACUGAGGAUCGGUGGCCGGAAACCAAAUGAAUUCUUGAGUUCUAGGGUUUUUUUUGUUAAUUUUGAAGGUUUUUGAUCGUUUUAACCUCAAAUCUGGGCUCUACUUGAAAAGAGAAGCAAAAAGGGGUCUCGAACGAUUUUUCGGCCACCAUGGACGAUGCCGCCGCCGUCAGUGGCUGGUGGUCGGCGCGACGGUCGAUGGCCGGCCCAAUGACCAGAGGAGGGGAAGGACUAAGAGUGAUUGAGAGAGUUUUUUUUUUUUUGGAAAAAAGAGUUGAAAUGAAAUUUUAAAAAAAAUUGGUUUAAAUAGGCCUCUAAAACGACGCCGUUUUGGGCAGGCCUCUCAAGCACCAAAACGACGUUGUUUUGGCCAACCCGAUUUGCGACCUGACCCGCAAAGCUAGGAUCCGCGUGUUUUCUAGCGCAUGGGAAAUUUGCGCAAUCAGCCCUUCCGCUUAUUCUGCGCGCUACAAUCUGGUCCUUUUACCCUUUUCUUAUUUUUAUAAAUUUGGCCACAUAUUUUCCGCGCGUUUCAAUUUAGUCCCUGGCUCGCUAGGGGAUGCAUGCAUUGGGAUAUUUUCCCAUUUAGUCCUUCUUUAUUGGCACGCUUUUUAUUUUGGCCCUUCGUUUUGCCCUUUUCUUUUAUUUAUUUUUAAUUUAUCCUUUUGACUUUAUUUUAGUUUCGAUUUCAUCCUUUAUUUUAUCAAUUUCAAUCCUUUUAGAUUUUAUAUAACAUCAUUUUAUUUUCAUUUAUUUUUAUUUAUUUAUUCAUUUGUUUUACUAUUUGAUUGCUAAAUAGAACAGUUUGUCAUAAGAAAAUGAAUUUCUUGAUAAAGUGGAUUAUAAUACGGUUGUCUAAAUAUGGUCCAAGUAAACAAAACGGAAAAAGGCUGAUGAUUUGCGGAGGAAAAUAAGUCUUUACCUGAAGAUUCAAGCCGAUAAAGAUUGUUCGAGAGCUGUCGCGUUCCGAUUUUCUUGAAAAAGCUAAUCAACAUCGCAAGGAUAAUAAGUCACGGUCUAGAUCAAGCAAAAAGGAAUUAGUAAAGGUAUUUAUUGGAAGCUUGCGAGAUUUGACUUCCAUGAAGAAAAGAGAUCGGUGUCUUCGCCUGGAAUAUGAGGGCAAUGCCGCAUAUGUAAUCCGUUUUGUGUAAAGGAAUUUAUUUUCUAGAAAAUUUGUUCUAAUGAAAUUGAAUUCAAAAUCAACGACUUUCUUUCUUUUGCAUUCAUUCUAUGCAUUUUUACGGUAAUUAGGUAAAAUUAGGAAUUCUUUUGCAUUCAUUCUAUUCACUCUAAUUAGGUAAAAUUAUUUCAGUUAACCUGGGAACCGAUAAAAGUCAAACGACUAAGCAUCUUUACGGUACACGAAAAAAGAUAAAAGAUAUGGAUCAAAGAUUGGAAAGACUUGAACAACUUUAAAGAGAGAUGCAAGACCAGUUACAACUGCAAAUGCAAGAGCAACUGGUGAAGAUCCAGCAAGAUAUGAGGUACCAAAUGCUAGAGUCCCAAAAGAAUGUGAUAAAUCAGUUGUCCCAAUUACUGACUAAGGGGCUAGAGAAAGGAAAAAACUCCAUGACCAAUGCUUGGAAGGACAAUGAGGAGCCUCUAUACCCUCCGGGUUUCACCCUGAUAAACGAUCAGACAUGUCCACAAGAUGUACCUAUUGCCAUCAGAUCCCAACAACAUCAGGCCGGUACCUCAGCACCCAUGAACUACCCGACGGGCUCAGGUUCCAAUCCAAGGAACAGUCCAACCAAUCAUGUAGUUCCUGAUCUAGACAAAAUGGUAGGAAUAGAAAAAGUAAGGGUUGAACUGCCAAAACAACUCGAAGAUCGAUACAAGUGGUUGGAGGAAAAACUUAGAGCAAUGGAAAAUGUCGAUUACCAUUGCGGGGUUGACGCUAAAGAUCUCAGUUUGGUUCCAGAUUUAGUACUCUCGCCAAAAUUCAAGACUCCAGAAUUUGAAAAGUAUAAUGAGACUAGUUGUCCUGAAGUUCACAUCAUGAUGUUCUACCGAAGAAUGACAGGUUACGUUAAUAAUAAUCAACUAUUAAUUUAUUGCUUAUAAGAUAGUCUGAUUGGGUUAGUCGCCAAAUGGUACAACCAACUGAGCCGUGCCAAAAUUUAUUCAUGGAAGGACUUGGCACAGGCUUUCAUGAAGCAAUAUGGCCACGUGACAGACAUGGCGCCCGACAGAAAUUACACUGCAGAAUAUGGAAAAGAGGCAAAGUGAGAACUUCAGGCAAUAUGCCCAAAGAUGGAAAGAGGUAGCGACACAAGUCCAACCACCUCUUUUGGAGAAAGAAACUACUAUGCUUUUCGUCAACACUCUGAAUGCCCCGUUCAUUACCCAUAUGUUGGGAAGCACUACCAUGAGCUUCUCAGAUAUAGUAAUAUCUGGUGAGAUGAUUGAAAAUGCAGUCAGGAGCGGGAAGAUAGACGGAGGAGAAAGCGCCCAGAGGUCAACCCCAAAGAGAAAUGAAAAUGAAGUGAAUAAUAUGAGCAAAGGGUAUCCCAAUUUGGUCAACGUAGGCCAGCCGAGGACUGUAACCACUAGCUAUCAAGGCUCUUCAAGACAGGAAUCCAACUCGAGGCUAAAUACAGAAAGGCUCCAGUUUACACCCAUCCCGAUGUCAUAUAAGGAGUUGUAUCAGAAUCUUUUUUAUGUGCAUAUGGUGUCUCCGUUCUACUCUGAACCAGUGCAACCUCCAUUCCCAAACUGGUAUAAUGAGAAUGCUCAAUGUGAGUACCACGCGGGAAUAAUGGGACACUCAAUCGAAAACUGUACUACAUUUAAAAAGUUGGUCGAAAGGUUCAUUGAAAUGAGAAUUGUGAAGUUCGGCGAUUCCUUAAAACCUAAUCGCUCUGACAAUACAGUAAAUGCGAUAUUUGAAAAUGAGGGCAAAAGAGCUGCGAUGCCUUGAACAAGUUAAAAGCCUAGAACGAAUAUUGGAGAAUCUGAAUGACAUAUCCGAAGAGGGAACCGGAGAAUAAAAGUUUCCAAACCCUUGUAUACUUGGGAGUGUUUUAAACAAUGAGAUUGUGGAAGAGAUCCCUUUAUUUUUAGAGCUAAUCUAGAGUAAUAUUCAAAACACGCUUGUUGCUUUAAGCCUAGAAGCAAUAAGAAUCAUUUUAUGAAAUAGGCUUGUGCCCAAAAUCUUUAUUCCAAUAAAAUGCAUCUUUUUGAACAAAUAUUAUUUUAUUUGUUUUUCUAUUUCAUACUGUACAAAUAUUUGUUCUUAGAUUCUUUUGAUCUUUAGACUUUCUUUAAAAAAAUCAUUUAUUAUUCAUUCAUGAUCAUACCAUAUAAAUAAUCAUCCUUAGAAUCAUUUAUUCUUUGGAAUCUGUCUUCAGUAGGUCCCCAGAUAUCAAUGAUGUGAGCAAUGCUGUCACUGACUCCGAGUCUCCUUUUGAGCAAAAUAUGGGCCUAAAAGGAUCUCAGCACUUUAAAUAUGACAGAGAUGUAGCCUAUCUCCUGAUUUGUUAAGGACGAUAGUAUAAGACAAAAAAAAAAGAGAUCCUACCUUACAAAAAGUCAGUGGACAUUGUGAGCCUAGGAGAAGAGAAAAGGGUGAAGACCAGAGCCUAUAUCACUACAAAGACGAAAGUGAGACCUCAUUCCAAGAAUUUAAAGAUGUUUUCGCACGAUCGUAUCAAGACACACCCGAGCUACUAAGACGUGAGGAUGCUGUAGGGCAUUUAAACAAGCAUAUGCUAAUAGUUUUACGAUGGCCAGGCUAAUCAUGAGGUUCGAGUAUCGAUAGGCUACCAUGGAAGGGGAUUGCAUCAGUUAUGCCAUAAAUGUCGGAUUGAGAAUGAUAAGACUUAUGUGCCUCCUCCAUUUCUUCACAGAUUUCCCAUAUGUAGGGCAUGGAUAUUAUGGGGCCGAUCUCGUCAAAAGCUUUUGGCCAACACCGAUUCAUCUUUGGGGUCGUCGAUUACUUCACGAAAAGGGUGAAAGUCAUUUCAUAUGCCAAUGUUACUAAGUCGACAGUCAUCAAAUUCCAAAAAAAAGGUGCCAACAAAAAAUGCCAAAAAGGAUCAUGUCUAACACAACUGUACAAUGUCGAAAGUUUGCAGUCUGUUCAAAGAUUAGACGCCAUAUUGCAAUGCAAAAAAAUAAAAAAUAAAAGGAUCAUGGGGAAUAUGAUUGAGACUUGUAAAGAUUGGCAUAAGAAGUCACCAUUUACCCUCUAUGAUUAUCGAACGUCGGCCAAGACCUUUGCCGAGACAACACAUUGCUCAUUGGUUUAUGGGAUAAAAACGAUUUUGAAGACGAGAUUUUUUUCUCUGAGUAUUGUUGGAGCUGAAGUUGGAUAGGGUAGAAUGGAUCCAAUCCCGAUAUGAUCAGUUGAAUUUGAAGAGAGGAGGUUGAAAAACCAUCUGUCGUGGUCCAAUGAAUGAUGUGAGCUUAUGAUAAAGAGGUUUAUCCUAGAGAAUUCCACGAGGGUAACUUCAUAUUGAAGAAGAUCCUUCAUAUACAAAAGGACUUCAGAGGAAAGUGGAUGUCAAACUAGGAAAGACCUUAUGUAGUAAAGAAGGCCUGUUCUGGAGGAGCAUUGAUUUUAGCCGAAAUAAAUAGCAAAGAUUUGCCCAAUCUGGUGAAUUCAAAUCCAGUCAAGGAGUAUUCUACCUAAAAAGAAAGAGGCCAAGGUGAAAACCCGCAAAGAGCGCCUUGAAAAAAAAAGGCCAAUGCGAAAACCUGUAAAUUGCGCCUUGAGACCAAAGGGGAUUUGAGUUGAAAACCCAAAAAGGGCCGCUCAAAUUUGGAUCAAAGUGGGGCAUACAGUAGUCUUGCUAUACCUGAAUUAACGAUGAAGAAGCAAGUUAUGUCUUGGGGUAUCGACAAAGAACCCCGAAUCCCCUAAACACAGAUUGAACUCAAAAUAGUGUCCAAGAAAUGGGUACAGAGAAGCUCAAGCUGCAAUAUCUGGGGCACCUAGCUUUCUAUUUUACCCAUUUUGAAUUUGAUAUCUUUGAUCACCUUAUUCUUUUCAAGAUACGUCCUAAUAAAUUUCCUUUUUAAUUGCAUUUGCGAUCUUUGAUUAAUUUAUUCAUUUCAAGCUAUGCUCCCAGUCAAUUUCCUUCUUGUCCAUUGUUUCGGUCCUUUUUAAGCAUUUUGCAUUGAAAUAGCAAUUAAUGGACCAAUAAACUUUCACAAAAGAAGUUCUGCAUAUUACUUUAAAGGCUUCUAAAUAGUACAGGAACCUGAAACAAGACCAUAUUUAGAACUCACCAAGCCUAAGGGUUGGAAAUAUUUGAGAGAUAGGGGUCUGAAUUGUGGCUAUCUCUCCAGAUUUUUUGUUAAAGAUAUCAUUGCAAAAAAAAAACAAGGUAUUGUAUCGGUGACACCACCUUGAAAAAUAAAGAGCAAUGUCAACCCAAGUGUAAAAGGGGAUCAUUUUCAGGAAAAGAAGAAUGGUAUUUUGUAUUCAUGCAGAUAUCCAGCAUACACAUCUGGUCAUAAUACCAAGGAAUGGUGUAACAGAUCAAAUUGAUUGAAGAUGACACAAAUCCUAUACCUCUGAGUUACAGCAGGAUGGAUAGAAGAAACUAAAUGUUACUCCCCUGAAGUUGCAAUGGGAGGUACAAACUCUAUGUCCCAGAAUAUACAGCGAAAAUGACUCUAAAAUUACAGUAGGGCAAGCUUGCUAAACAGAUUGUGUUUGUUUCUUUGAGUUUUCUAUCAAGAAUGCCAGUUGAACAAGAUGGCUGCGUAAUACGUCAAUGAUAAGGCCCUGAUGAACAACGAGCAAUAAUACCUUAAGCCUUUUAAAAAGGAUCAUUUUCAUUACUGCGUUAUAUAUCAUUCAUAACACAUCUAGUUAGGAGCAUUUGUUUCAUUUCGAUCAUAGCAUCCUAAUUAUUUGACAUAAGCAUCACAUCUAGUUAGGAGCAUUUGAUUCCUUUCGAUCAUAGCAUCCUAAUUAUUUGGCAUAAGCAUAGAUACAUGAAACCGAUUCUACAGAUCAUGUCUCUAGAGGACGGUGUAGCAACAUCGAUGAAUUCACAGUCUUAUCUCUCUGAGUAGCAAGAGAGCAGGUUGAAGAUUGAAGUCUUAUCUUCCUGAGGUAGCGAGGAAGCAGACUAAAGAUUGCAGAUCUUGUCUCCCUAAAGUUGCAGUAGAGCAGAUCAAAGAUAGCGAAUCUUGUUUUCCUGAAGUUACAGUGAAGCAGAUUUAAGCCAUCAUCCUAUCUCCCUAAGUUGUAGUGGAGUAGGCUAGAGAUUGCAAAUCUUGUCUCCCUGAAGUUGCAGUGGAGCAGAUCGAAGAUGGCGAAUCUUGUCUUCCUGAAAUUGCAGUGAAACAGAUUUAAGCUACCAUCCUAUCUCCCUAAGCAGUAGUGGAGUAGGCUGAAGAUUGUAGAUCUUGUCUCCCUGAAGUUGCAAUGGAGCAGAUUGAAGACAACAAAUCUUGUCUCCCUAAGCAGUAGUGGAGCAGAUUUAAGCCACCAUCCUAUCUCCCUAAGUAGUAGUGGAGUAGGCUGAAGAUUGUAGAUCUUGUCUCCCUGAAGUUGCAGUAGAGCAAAUCGAAGCCGCAAAUCUUGUCUCUCUGAAGUUACAGUGAAGCAGAUUGAAGUUGCAAAUCUUAUCUCCCUGAAGUUGCAGUGGAGCAGAUUAAAGCCACAAAUCCUAUACCUCUGAAGUUGUAGUAGGUCGAAUCAAACCUAUCAUGGUGAAUCUUAUCUCCCUGAAGUUAUGGUGGAGUAGAUUGAAGCCACAAACCUUACCCCCCUG